rnacentral:rRNA from 1 species
UACGGAGGGGGCUAGCGUUGUUCGGAAUUACUGGGCGUAAAGCGCACGUAGGCGGUUCGUUAUGUCAGAUGUGAAAGCCCUUGGCUCAACUGAGGAAGUGCAUCUGAAACUGGCGAGCUAGAGUACGUAAGAGGGUCGCGGAAUUCCCGGUGUAGAGGUGAAAUUCGUAGAUAUCGGGAGGAACACCGGUGGCGAAGGCGGCGACCUGGGACGAUACUGACGCUGAGGUGCGAAAGCGUGGGGAGCAAACAGG